ensembl:lncRNA
GUUUGCUUUUCCUGCCAGGCAGCAAGCCAGCACUGAGGUCAGACUAUUCCCAGGAUGGAUGCAAGGUCCUGGUGUCAGCACUGCUCACAGCAGUGUUGCAUACAUCAGCUCAACUCCUGCAGCCUCCUGUGCCUUCUGAGCCUCCCAUGCAUUGAGGCCACCACCUCCCAUGAGGAUGAAGGGGAGGAAGAGUGGGGUGCAACCAUGCACGCCCCAUUGGCAGAAGCACCUGGGGGUCUUCACUGACCAACACUGUGAAGGGCACUGUUAUUGUGUGUGCACUGUCCUUGUAGACUCACCUCAGCAGUGAUCUCACACCACUGUGCACUUUCCUGGCACACUGACAAUCCCAGUGAGCAGCUGCAGUUCCAUGGUGGCUACAUUAAGAAUGUGACUUCUACAGCCAUCACUGCGGCCAUCAGCAGUGGAUGUCUGCCGUGCAAAGGGACGUGCGUGCCAACAGCAAGCACCUGGGCAUGGAAAGCUGGUUGCUGUUACUGUAAGUGAACCCUUCAGUUUGUAAGUGUGAGGAAACUGGAGAAGUUUAUGAAAGAAGAAAAAGGAUGGGGUACCGGGAGACAAAAGACUCAUCGCCUUGCAGGAAAGGGAUGAAUACAGGAGAAGAGGAGAUGGAUUGGAGCUCGUUUUGAAGGCAGAAGGAGCCAUCCCCAAGUCAGCUUCCUGCACUUCCAGUGACAUUUAUAGAAGUGAACAGAGAUUCCACUGAUUUCACUUUUGACCAUCAGCCUGAACGCGUCCUCCCAACUGGAAGGGCUUUUUUCACCUUGAUGAUCCUUGAGGUCCCUUCCAACCCAAGCCGUUCCAUGAUUCUGUGAUUCACCGACUGCAUCACAUCCAAUAAGGAAUCCCAGUGCAGCGCUGAAGCAACCCUCCUUCAUCUUCAUGUAAGUAAAACAAGGUGUUGUGCUAUUUGGACAUCAAUUUCUUAUCAUUGUUGCUGUGAAAACUGGUGAAAAAUGGGUGUAACCAGCAUACCUCACACCGUAAUUUUCUGCCUGUGGUGUUUAUCUCUUGCUGCUCAUUGCAUCUACCUAAUUCCUCUUUAUUGCCACCAGCAAAGCAAAGCUAAUACUGAGAUUCUUAGCAGCAAAUACGGAAGGCAAAAUAUAAACGCUUUCUUGUGACUCAUAAAUUGCCCUUUUUAUAGUCAGAGCAACAAAGACUUGGGCACUCUUAUCGGGAACAUGCACAUUGUACGCUGCCAGCAGCGCUGCCAACUAUCAGUAACGACACUGCAGAGCACGGACCUGAGAAAUAUGCUGAAGAAAUCCCACCAAUGAUCUGCUGUAAAUUGCUUACAACCCACAGUUUGUGCUGCAGGGCAUGGGAGCACUGUGCAGUUACAUCCCAUCCCAUCCCGGGGAAUAACAGUGGGGUUUGGGAGGUGCUUCAGCGCUUGGUUCUCUGAGAUUUCAGCUUCAGCCCGAGUUUCUUCACAUCUAAGCCUGCUUUUCUAUUUAUUAUUAUUAUCAAACUUGAUAAUCUGGGAAAAAAAAUAUGAAAUACUAUCAAUUUGUGAUGGGUUUUGGAGGACUUUCAUCUUCAGAGCACAUUUUCAGCGUAUCACUGUAAAUUUCACUGUUGUGUGGGGAACGCUUUGUGGCACAUAGCUUCAGUUCCUGUGUUUUACACUGAUCACAGAAUCACAGAAUGGUUUGGGUAGGAAGGGACCUCAAGGAUCAUGAAGCUCCAACCCCCCCGCCACAGGCAGGGCCACCAACCUCCACAUUUCAUACCAGCCCAGGCUGCCCAGGGCCCCAUCCAACCUGGCCUUGAACACCUCCAGGGAUGGACGGGGCAUCCACAGCCUCUCUGGGCAGCUGUUCCAGCACCUCACCACUCUCAUAGGAAAGAACUUCCCCUGACAUCCAACCUCAAGCUGCCCUCCUUUGACAGAUUUUGCUCCAGGAGCCCAAAUUACGGCUGGGUCACCAGGCUGGAUGGCUCUCUGCAAACAUGGAUGCAACAGAGCAAGGCCACAUGCAGAGCCAGCUCCUACAGCGCCUACGGGCUCUCUCCUGGCAUUAAGAAGGUUUGCAACAUGUGAGCUGUGACAGCUGCAGCACAGCAAACUGUGUGCGGUGAGGGUACAAAAAGAAAUGUCCUCACAGGUCCUGCUCUGCUCGUCCGGAGUCUGCAAAGGGUCAGAGCAGUGCUGCUCCGCAUGGCUUCCAACUUUAUUUCUCCCAUUGCAUAACGCUAGAGAAAUAGCUAAAGACAGCAAAAUGCAUUGCUCCUCUGCUGCUCAGGCUAAUCAUGGCACGUCACCCAAGGAAGGUAUUUUCUUUUCAUAGAAUCGUAGAAUCGCAUAAUGUCCUGGGUUGAAAAGGACCACAAUGCUCAUCCAGUUCCAACCCCCUGCUAUGUGCAGGGUCACCAACCAGCAGACCAGGCUGCCCAGAGCCACAUCCAGCCUGGCCUUGAAUGCCUGCAGGGAUGGGGCAUCCACAACUUCUUUUUUAAGGACGGAGGAUGUUACCUGACUUCAGUGACUCUGCAUUGCUGGGAGCAGUGAUUCCUGUGCUCAGUACCUGCUCCUGCCCCCUGGAAACCCAUGGGCUGUGCUCCUGCCUGGGACCGGGGUCUGCCCAUGUCACUGCACGCUGAGUGUCACACUCAGACAGGAGUACAUCUUGCUCCCUGCAACAAAUGCUUUCUUCCUGGUGAGAUGUCUAAAAGGAAAAUGUCUAUUUGCACUAUAUAUAAAAUCUCUAAAAUAGGCAAUUUAUUCAUUUCCCCUUCACUUUUAUUACACCUCAAAGGAGAAAUCUGUUGCACAGUUUCUGUAUUUUAAUCAUCCGUGAAAAAUUCAAUUAAUAUGCAGUUAAUGUCUUGUCACUUUCACUAAUAUUAGGCAAUGGGAUUGAAGGGAUGUAAAGCAUGCACGGCUCACAGAGAUAGUUUGCAGAUUUAUAACGUGUACACUUGAAAUUAGUCCUUGAAAAUAUGCUCUGGGGUGGCCAGGUCCUGUGGUGGGGUCAGUCACAGCAGUGCCCCCAUUCCCAGUGCUGUACCUUCUGCUGCAGAAGCACGUGAGCUAAAACGUGCUGAAUUGUCACUCUCCUUAUUCCUUCCAUAUUCUUCUCAUAAACUUUUUAAAACUCCACUUAAAGCCUAUGUUGUUGAUGGACUUCGAUGGAAUGGAAGUGUUUCAGAUGCACCAGGUAGGUUAAUCUGUCUGAUUAAAUCAUUCUUCAUACUUCAGAUCAAAUACCUUCGGUUGCGCAGUGGUAGUGCUAAGAAGGGCUUCUUGAGUUCUGCUGGGGAGAUGUGAUUCUGCCCCUACGUCUCCCUAAUUGAGGAGCUGUUUUGUGUCCACUAUAUGUCACUUCUGUGCAGGUCGUACUGCUCGAGGAACAUCUGAGACACCAAAUAUGCCAUUCCUUUCUUCCCAGAAUGAUUUAAAAGUUACUCUGGGUCCAAAGGAGGGAACAGCAGCUCCUUCCACCCAGCAGCCACUCUCCAUCAGACAGCACCAGGAGCCAGUCUGUGCCUGGCUGCUGACUCCUGCAGGACUGAUGCUGGGCUUAUAUGCAGUCUCCUGCACGCUCUGCAAGCAGCUGUAAGUAAACCAUAAGAGAGAACUGUCAGGCAAACCUGGCAACCCGCUUUGCCCCUUCACCUCCUUUAUAAAAUGGGAAUGAUGGGUGUAUCAUCACCACGCGCACAUGGAGUGGGUUUAUGAGAGCUACAAGUGAGGAUGCUCGCUCUGUAUUUAGAAGGAGCAGGUUAAGUUUUUAUUAUUAUUGAAUUCUUAUGUUUCAGAAUGCUCAGCUCGGAGAGAUUUUUAUUAAACUCAUCUGUCAGAAUAGAAAUACUUCCUGGAGAAGGCUGGAUUGUAAGGGACGUAUUCGAUGAAUGCGCACAUAUUAUGUCCAUAAAUGUUUGUUAGAAAAAUUAUUCCCAACAGAUCUGACAGAGAUAUGAAAAAUUAGAUCACAAAUCUCAUUAACGACAGAGCCACUGAAAGAGGGAUGAAGCCAAUUACUGUCGAUAUUACUUGUCAGAAGAAUGUCAUGGCUCUCGUCUCGAUGCCGGUCACAUAUCUCUCUGUUGAAAUAACUCCGCAGAUGACUCCUUUUCUCCCAUCAGCAGUGAAUGAAAGAAGUUUCCACUUUUCUUAUGCACAUCCUGUUACCUCCGUUAUCCGAGAGAUGCACUGUUAAUGCUGUGAAAGGUCGGGUGACUGCGGGACCGCACUCAUUGACCCCAUGUGCCCCUCCGCUCCCACCUCCUGCUGGCACUUCCGUGCAGUGAGGCAUCAGGCUGCUCUGUCACCAUGACAACUUUGCUUUUCAUGACAAAAGCAGUCUGUCGGUAGGGAUUUGAGCACUCUGUAAACGUGGCUACUGAGCAUCACUCACUUUGUCACCGGGAAAAAGCAAAAAUCCUAAACAAGUGCUUCUAACUGGGAAGUAAAAGGAAUGUUCCAUGUGAGGGACCUGUAGUGGCAAUGCUAAGUAACGGCCUGAAGCAGUGAUUGAGCACCUGGUGGGAAGGCAGGGCCAGCCCAGGGGAUCUCAGGUGCAUGCAAUGCAAUGCAAUGCAGUGCAAUACAAUGCAGCUGAGUGACCAGAAGGGUGGAGUCAGGAUCCUCCUCUUCCCAGGCCUCAUUUAAGGGCUGGCAGUGGAGGUGAAAGCAUCUUGCUUGAGAUCUCUGCUCCCUGGAGGCCUUCUAAAGGUAAGCAGCUUUUCUUCCUUUGUUUUUGCAUCCCUGGCUGGCUGCUGCAUUUGGGCUUGUUCUUGUUUGGUGUAGCCUAGGAUUGUGCCACUCUCCAUUAUUGCUGUGCUUUCUACCACAUUAUAGCAUUACAGUACUGCACUUGGUAAGCCAGCCAGAUACUUAUUUACAUGGAUUACCUUAAAAAAAAUCAUGUGCUGGACGAUUACUGGGACCCUGAAGCAGAAGUUUCAAAAUAUCCCCAAAAAGCUGGGGUGAGAAUUACUGGAGGGGGAAAUAAAAAAUAACCAAAACAACAACAAGAACGUGGAACCUGGAAAAUUUCCUAGUUUCUAAUAAAAGCAAAAAGCCUCCUGAAGUGACCCAGGCCUCUAUGCCAGAGUCACCUGAGGAAAAGGAAUUGGCGAUUCUCAGCUACUUGCAUGAAAGGGAUGCUAGCCCCUCUGUACCUGGGGCCUCCAGUCCUGCCUGGGGGCCCCUAUGUUAAACUGACUGUGUUUGGGUCCCAAAAGAAUAUAGGGUGAGUUAUGGCAUUAGCUGAUAUGGGUGCAGAAAUGUCAAUUAUUUAUGGUGAUCCAACCAAAUUCCAAAUCCAAGGUGGUGAUUGGUGGGUUUGGGGGAUAGACCGUGCCUGUAACCCAGACAUGGUUAAAGUUGGGUGUCUUCCACACCAGGAGUGUGAGGUGUCUAUUGCCCCAGUUCUGAAGUAUAUAACAGGCACAGACAUGUUAUGCGGUCUGGCUCUCCAGAUGACUAUAGGAGAGCUCAGACUGAGAGAGAGAGAGAUGUAUUAGUUUCCAGGCAGUGCAGGCAAUAUUAAGAGGCCAUGUGAAACAUGAACGUAUUCCCUUGCCCAUUCUGUGCCAGAUUACUAAUACUUAACAGUAUAGAUUCCCAGAGGGUCAAAAGGAAAUACUUAGAAUGGUUCAGGAGCUAGAAAAAGUAGGGAUCAUAAGACCUGCAUAUAGCCCAUCCAAUUCCCCCAUAUGGCCAGUGUGGAAGUCAGACAGCACAUGGAGAAUGACAGUGGAUUAUGUAGAACUGAAUAAGGUCACACUGCCCAUUCAUGCAGCUGUACCCAAUAUUGCCUCCCUGGUGGAUACAUUGAGUGCGGAGUUAGAAACCAAAUAGUGUGUCCUAGACUUUGCAAAUGUAUUCCCUUCCCAUCCACAAAGAAUUACAAGAUCAGUUUGCAUUUAUGUGGGGAGGCAGGCAGUGGACCUCUUGGUUCCUGCCGCAAGGGUAUGUGCACUUGCCUACAUAUUGUCGUAACUUAGUGGCGCAUGACCUAGCAGACUGAAAUAAUUCUAAUAACAUCAAGCUGUACCACUAUAUUGAUGAUCUCAUGCUGACAUCAGACUCACUGAAGGCAUUAGGAAAGGCAGCAGUCUUACUGGCUACCUAUCUACAAAAAAAAAAGGGUGGGCUAUAAACCCACAGAAGUUGUAAAGACCAGGCUUGUAGGCCAUUCCUGAAGAUGCCUGAUAUAUGGAAGAUAUGCCCUGACCUGCAUCAACACAGCAAAUGGGCUAUUGCAGGGCUAUCCAGUGCCAAAGCAAACCAGGGAUAUGCCAUUAAGGUGCUUACCAAGAUGAUGGCUGCCUACGGAACACUUUGAGUCCCUUGGUCACUCUUGAUGACUUAUUUCACUGGUGCAAUGGUACAGUGCUGGGCAGAAGAAAACAACAUUGAGUGGUGAUUCCAUCUGCCAUACAAUCUGGUGGGGACAGGCCUUAUUGAAUGCUAUAAUGGUAUUCUGAAGACUGCCCUGAAGACAGACUCUCAGUCCCUGCAGGGGUGGACAAAGACUCUAUGAAGCCCUGCAGAACCUGAAUGAAAGGCCUAGAGAUGGCAGACCCAAUGCCCUAAAGAUGCUGCAGGCAACAUGGGCUUCCCUGCUAAGGAUUCAAAUUAUGGGCACUGACAAUCAGGUAAGACCCCAAACUGGCAAUUAAAAUAAUCUUCUGCUCCCUGCCCCUGAAAACCUAGAACCUGGUACCCAUAAAAUAGAAUGGCCUUGGAAAGUGCAAGUAGGACCAAUGUGGUGUGGCCUACUUGCACCUAGGGGAGAUGUUUGGAGGUUGGAGGAUUGGUAGUCCCCCCAGCAACAGGUGCAUGACCUGCAGAUGUCAUGGUCAAUGUGCUAAGGGGAUCUUAAUCAUGUCCCUGUGGCAAAGCAGGAUCCCCCACCCCCUCUUUGAUAGCCGCUAUAGGUAUGUAGCCACAGAUAUCAGGCCAAAGGGUAUGGUACAGACAGCCAGCGCAUGCUGCAGUGCAUUGCAUCAGGAUCAAGAGAGAAAGCUGGUGGAAAUAGUUUAUAUGAUCAGACUUUAAAUCGUGGUUAUAUAAACAUUUACAUAUAAGACUAUGUACAUCAAGCUACAUAUACUGUAGGUGUUGCUUGUGUGUAUUACAGAAACACAGUCACAGAACCACAGGGGUUGGAAGGGACCUCAAAAGAUCAAGUCUAACCCCCUGCUAGAGUAGGUACCCUAUAAUAGGUCAUACAUGUAGGUGUCCAGACAGGUCUUGAAUAUCUCCAUACAAAGAGACUCCACCACCUCCCUGGGGCACCUGUUCCAGUGCUCUGUCACCCUCCCCAUAAAGGCACAGAGGUAGCUGUGUAUGUUUACUUUCUGAAUUAUGAGCACAUCCUUCUAUCAUGAGAAUUCAAGACUAAUUCCAGGGGCUGAGAGCAAACGCUGCAUGGGGCAGUUCGGGCUUCAUGUUGGUUUUAGCAAUCAUUGGUGUUGCAAGGCACUGAAGAAACAUCUCCCCUUUACACACAACCCAAGUUUACAAAGCCAGUCUCACAGACUCACAUCCACCUACAGAGCUUUGGUGGCUCUGACCACUGAGAGUUUUAUAUGUCAGUAACUGCCUCCAGUUUAUCCACUGAACAGAGCACAGCAGAAGAUAAUCAUAAGGAUGCCAGGACGUAUUCUAAGUGGAGAAACAUUGGCAGUGGAUGUCACUGGAGCAAGAUCCUGGAGACUGUGGAGACUUCUGGGAAGGAAGGAGGUUGUGAGCAUCGCUGUCACGGCUGAGCAGCCGGCUGCUCCGAGGGGUUAGUAUAAGUAAAAUAAAAGAGGCGGGGAGAACAAUGGCUGCAUGUGUUCUCCUAUCUAGCAAUGCAUUGUCAGUGCAUCAACGUUAAUUUUUAAAUGGGAUAUUUACAUUGUACAAUGAAGUAAAUGUACCUCAUGUUCUUAUUCUGACUCUUAAUCCCAAGGCCUGUGGCUCCUUAAGUCUCAUUUGUUUAUCACCUCAAAGUUACAGUCUGGAUUUUAGCAGUGAUCAGACUGAAGUUACCCUCAGGGUUUUAUUCCCACAGUCCCAGAAGCUCUCUUCAGACAGGUCUUUAUUUGUUGAAGUGUAUUUAUUAUCCACUUGAACUUCUUUGAGCAGAUCGUAUUGAAAAUGAGAACUGCAUGAGGCUGUUCCUACUGCUUGCAGCUCAACAUGCACUGAAAUGGUUAAAUUCAGCACUUCAUUUUUGCAAAUGCUCUCUCAAAUUAUUUUGGCUUUUGUGAAAUUUUCUUCCCUCCGGCUUCAUUUGCUGGCAUAUCUAAAAACACUUACACACGCAUAACUGAAAUCCAACACAUCGAUGGCUAUUAACCUGUUGGAUGUUACCUAAUGAGCCCAUAUGUUGUACUGUCAUUCAGUUACUGUGACAGAAGGAUGACAUGGAAAUGCUGACAUGUAUCUCUGUUGUUUAAUGCAGACACAGCGUAACUCAUUAUUUUGUGCAGCAAACUGAAGUCUCUAAUGCCUGCAAAACUGAAAGGGUGCUACAGUAACUGCUUGUCAGAAACAGAACAAAAUCUGCCUUUCCUGUGCGCAUAUAAAAAUACAGGUGACUCUACAAGCAGCUCAAUUUGUCACUCAGCCCCAUCCAGGGCUUUUCAAAGUGAGCUUUUAAUUCUCUGUGGCUGCCUAACAGAAAUCCCACCACGUCUGUGUGAACUGAAAGAACCGCACGUUUCUCCAACUGUGACCCCAAAUAGGUAUUAAUGCAGCUGUUACAUCCCAAAUACUUCUCUAACAGUUCUCAGAUUGUUCUCCCCAUUCAGUUACAGCAGUCUGGAUGGAAAUAGAGAAGAAAACAAGUGCUAACCUCGUAGAGCAGUUGUGGAUGGGUGAGUAGCAGCCCAGGGGCAGCAUUUGCUUUAGGUCCUCCUCAUGGAAUUAGGGUCAUUACUGUGAUUUACUAAGAAACAUAUGUGCAAGUAUGCACUGAAACUGCAGAAAAUAGAAUUUUAGAAGCUUAUUCAGCAGUGGAUUUCAGCAUACAGAUGCUGGAUAUAAUAUACUCGCACUAAAUUGGAUUCUGGGUGAAUAAAGGAGCUGCUCUUAAAUUCAGCUUAGAGCCCUGCUCAGCACUCAGUUUGAAAUACACAGCCUUUUUGUUUCGCUUUUGCAACUUAUUCAAUAAAUAUUUUGGCAUGCCUGUCUGUUACACUGCCUUAAUCUUCUCUUCAACUGAGCAGAAAUUAGCAUUUGUAAUUUAUUCGCCAAGGGAAACUAAAAAGGCUUUGCACCAGAGUGAAAUUGAAUGCCCAACAGAUAACCAGAAUGCUGAGUCAGCACAAUGUGCAUUUGACAAAUAUGCCCUUUGCCUGCACCUAACUUAAUGGACCACAUGGCAAAGAGUGGGGGGCAAGCGUUUAAGCUUUUAUAUGUGACUUGCUGGAAUGGUGCAGGGCUGUGGUGGCUCACCGCGCAGUGCCAUCAUCCCCUCUUCAUGGCCCAUGACCAAUGGCCAUGCCAUUCAAGUCCAUUUUUCAUUUCAAGCAAAUCACAAGAUGCCCGUUUUGUAUAAUAAAUAACAGUUAGACCAGUGUUUCAGUUAUCCUACUAAGAAACAAAGUCUGUAAUCAGCUUGAUUUCCUUUUUUUCCCCUCAAUCCAACCCCAUGCAGGUUUAAUUAACCCUAAAAAAAGCAAGCCAAAUACCCACUCAAUAGAUUUCAGUGACUAGAUAGCAGGUUCACCCUUGGGAUGACUCGUAUAGCUCAUUAUUAGAAUCACAGAACCAUUCUGGCUGGAAAAGCUGUCUGAGACCCCCACCCUACCUGUGCCCACUGGCCCCCCCUCAGUGCCACAUCCCCGCAGCUCUGAACACCUCCAUGGACAGGGACUGCCCACCCCUGGGCAGCUGUGCCAGCGCCUGGCUGCUCUCUGGAGCAGACAUUGCUCUGACAGCCAACCUGACCCUCCCUGUACAGUCUGAGGCCAUUCCCCUCUCAUCUUAUUGCUGGGGCAGAGUCCAACCCCCACUUCACUACAUGCUUCUUUCAGGGAGUUGAAGUCACAUCCUGGAGUCGAUAAGGAGCAGUUUGAGCCAUGCCCUUGGCCCCUCUCCUUACAUAAGAGAUGAAUUUUUGGCACAGAGUGCUGUUUUGGUUGCACCUGUUUCUUAUUUGGUCUCAUGAAUCAUUUGGGGCAUUGUUAUGAGGCAGGCCAAUAAGACAGACAUAUGCCAAUUAGGGCUGUUCUGAGAAGCAGUCACAAUGCAUGUGGUUUAUGAGUGCUAAUGUCAUUGAUUUCUGCCUUUUCAAUGAGCUAGCCAGCACUCUGCAUAGAGAAUUUAUAAUCAGAAACAUCCCUCCCUAUUGGCACAUGGAUAGGGCCUGACUUUUAUUGCAGCAGCGUUUGAUCGAUGCAGCGAUAUGCCGUGUGGGGUGGUGAGCAAUGGGUCUCAUUCUGCCAUACGUGGAGCAGGAGGCACUCCCAGCACAACAGCAGAAUACCGGCGUACUUCAAUGCACAGUUACCUGCUUGCUGGAGAAGGGAGGCAUGAAGCUGUUCCCCCCUCGUGUCCCACUUGCACACACUCACGUUUACAGCACAGUCGCAUAGCAGCCAAUGCUUGCUGAAAAACAAAGUAAGAAAAAGGAGUGCAAAAUGUACAACUAUUACUCUGCAUAAGAAAAUUAUGGAAAGAGAAACCAGCAUAGAUUGACAGUGUGUGGGGGGGCAGAUGAGUACUUACUCUUUCCAGCACGAAUUGCUUUGGUUUUUUCUUCCUUUUUAGUUUGUUAUAACCAUAACUUUAUUUAAAUGUCGCUUUUCUUUCCAGCGUGGCUGUGGUAAUUUCUUAGAGAACAUAUUUUAAUGGCCUGGCUGUACGCACAGGAUUUCUGUUUGUUUCUGUAAUUGCUUCUUAAUUAUUUUCCAAUUGCUGAAACAACAGUUUCCACAGUUUAUUAAAAAGCGUUUUUGAAAGCUUUACCCGAAGGCAUUGUCAACAUUUUAUUACUAUCACUAACAGCCAGCACAAAUGAAUAAUCACCAGCCCUGGUAGCUCGUGUCAAGCAGUAGAGAGCUGUCAGAGCCUUAUGUAGAAAUUAGGGUGAUGUAGGAAUUGGGAUGCAUUCACUGUGCUUCCAGGUUGGAGCAGCCCCAUUCCCACCAUGGGAAUGGAUUAACUUUAACCCCAAUGGCAUCUCUCUUUUAGGUGUGAUGUCACUAACAGAGAUAACAUCACUGUGUUUGGAAGGAGAAAUACUCUCAGAAAUCUUAAAAAUAACAUUACAGCAACUUUCUUUUGUUGUUUAAGCCACUUUUGCCCCCACACAUAUAUUGUAGGGAAAAACUGGCCUGAUCCGUGUGGUUAUAACAACCUAUUGUACGUUGUUAUAUGUAUUGUUAUAUGUACAACCUAUAUGUAUUGUAUAACAGCCUACAAUAGGUUGUUAUAACCAGCACUGGGUAGCCUCUGUAGCAGCAGCCUGCUCCCCUAGCCAUGUGCAGAGGUGCCCUUCCUGCAGAACUUUGCCAAGGAUGGAACCAAGAUUUACUGUCAGAGCAGUGAGCUGCUGCCCAACACAGUACCGCAUCCCCCCCAACCCCAUCACUGCCCCCCAUGCCACCUCUACCUACCAGUAAUUCAUGCCAUCUCCUCGAAGGACAGAAGUCGUCAGUUCCCACGUCUUCUCAAACUUAAGUAUUCAAAAUACCUAGAAAUUAGUCAGAAGUUUUAGGACAAAGGGUUCAGGGUGGGAAUUUGCAGGAUAAAGGACAGGUUUACCAAAUCUCCCACUGCUUAAAACAAAAGAAAAGUGGAAAACUUCAAGAUGUGUCUAUCACAAAAUAUUUCUUUCAAACAAAAAUAAAGAAAAGAGGGAUCAAAGUUGGUAAUUGGCAUUCUUUUCAUUCCAAUUUGCUGCUAUUUUCAAGCUCCUAAUUUCUCCUCUAUUGUUGAAUAGGAUCGUUUUGCUUUCCAAACCACCCUCCCCCCCCAGCAGCCCUGAGCACACACAGCCCUCCUUCUGCCUCCAGGCUGUGGUGCAGCUACAUCUCACUUCAGAGCAUCCUCCCCCUUUCAGCCAGCACCCACAGUUUCUGCCUGCUGAUUCAAGGGCUGGGAAAGAGAAAACCCACUUGAACUCCUUGGGGCUGGAGCAGCACGAAGGUAAAGCCUCAGGUCUCUCUCUCCGUUCUUUCAUAACAGUGCCAUCUUUUCAAGUAGGAUUUAUUAGAAACAGCAGCUUCAUUUCUAUACAGGUGGGAAAUAAAUGCUUUGCUUAUAUUCUCUUCCUAUACUCUUCUCAUAACCUAAAUCAUAUAAAUGAUUCCUCAUUUGCCUUUAUCAGCUAUGAGAAGAGUAUUGGCUGGAUAUAAAACUCUCAUUUUAAUACUUUGAUUGGGAAAUGCUAUGAGAGGAACCGAUGCCUUGAAGGCAUUAUGAGCUUUGGUGAAGCAGAAGUUCUCCAAUUUGUGCAGCAGCAGAGAGGUGCCCUCACCCCUGAGCAGGAUGCAAUAGCUCAAUAUAAACACAAAUGUAUGGAGGUUGAACACAUGGAACACAGCACUGUGAUUGCAGGGUGACGUGAUGAGGUUGGCACAUAAUUUACUAACGAACAUAAACAGCAGCUGACCUGCAGAUACAAGAAGGAUACAUGAGUGGUUCAUCACAGCUGACGCUUUGCUGCCCUCCUGUAUCCCACGUGCUGAGAAAGGAAACGCGCUUGAAUGCUUCCCCAUUCUGCCCAUACAGCACUGAGAGUCUCAUCACAAUACAGAGUUGAGUUGUUGGUUUCUCCUGUACAGCUUGAAUCAGCGUAUCACUAUCCAAAGGGACAAACCAGAAAGCAUGUCAGGCUGCCAAACAGCGAGCAGGUGCUGCAGCCAGGUCCUGAAAGGGAUAUGGGCUCAGCCCUGGGCUGCCAGGAGGGGAUGGAGCCCUCCACCCACCUCAGUAGUCCAGGGACAGUUACUUACAAGAGAGAGUCUUAAACUGUUAAAAAAGUUUCCAAUAAAACUGUUUUCAUAAAAAACCUGCUUGAUUUUAUCGAUUGUUGCAGAUUAUACAGAGGUAUAGGCACACAUUUCUAUCACAGAAUCACUGGAGGUGCAGAAUUUACUGUCUGAAUGCCUGUCACACAUCUGUGUCUUUAAACCUGAACACUGCUUGCUCCACGAAGCACAUAAUUCUCCUAUUUAUGCAAAGCACUCCUAAACCCUCUGCAUUCUUUGUCCAGGUCAUUUUGCAGCACUUGGCACCUGCCUGAUCUUUUCCUUUGAUGAAUUUAUUAGAAUGCAUGCAAGCUCUGUGAUGAUAGUCAAAUGCAGCUGCAGAGUGAUAAUAUUUUAUACACGUGUAUGUAUUAAUGUUUAUACAGAAUCAAAGAAUGAAUUAUAGAAUGGCCUGGGUUGAAAAAGAUCUCAAAGAUCAUCCAGUUCCAACCCCCUGCUACGUGCAGGGUCACCAACCACCAGACCAGGCUGCCCAGAGCCACAUCCUGCCUGGCCAUAUAUACAUACAUGAUGUUGGGCUGCCCAGCCCAUAGCAGCCCCAAGCACCUCCAUCCCAUGUCCAGCAAGGGACAGGCAGACCUUUGACAUUAUACCACACUCCAACAGCCCGGAGGAAAUACUGGGCUGUGAACUGUCAAUGGAGGUGUGCCCACCAUUGUAUUGAUAUUUUCAUGGAAACAUUGUCCUUCAUACACUGAAAGGUUUCCUACUGAGACAACAGGGAGUACCUCUGGCUACCCUGAACACCACUAACAGCAGAGUCCUACAGGCACACCUAUUAGAAGCAGAUGUGUUUUGGCUUCAGCAGAUCACAUAGAAGCUGUUGGAAACAGCUGAGUGAUACCUCCUAGAUAAACCCAAGGUAUUUACUGGAACUAAGCAGAAGCAUUAUUAUUUAGUAUCGAUCCCCCUGUGAUGAACCAUACUUUACAAGGUCACUCUAAAACACGAGCAAUGAUUCCAAUGUUAAGACAUCCUUCUCUUUGUAAUGGGAUAAUCACAGUCAUUCCUCCCACUGCCCUGCAGUGCAGCUUCCUGCAUGGAAGAGAUCUUGGCUUAUUUGUACACCAGCAGACCUGCAAACAGCCAAUAUACCGUAUCAGAACUGAAGGCAUCCUCAGUGCAUCAUGAUCUGCACUGCAGCAACAGAUGCCUUCCUUACCCAGACAGUUCACUGUGGAAGGGCAGGGAGUACUCAUCACAACUCACUUUUGACCCAGCAGCAUGAGUUAAAGGUUAUCUCAUGGAGCAUUGCACUGCCUGCUAAGGCUGUGGGACUGCAACGAGAUAACAGAGAAUUCUGAAUAAUAAUUGAAAACUCCGUGCUGAAAUCAAUGCGAUUAGACUAUAUCGAUGUAGAUAUUUCUUUUAUCUAUAAGGCACAAUUAAAAAAUUGACCUUUACACAGAUCUCAAGUGUCAGUCUCAUUGUGAAGUUCACAGCUGUCAAUGCCUGAACUGAAUAUUGCAAACAUGCAAAAAAAAAAAUACUCCCUGCUAAAGUGCUCAGCAGCUCAUUUGCAAAGCUUGUUUUCUAUUAGACAAAACAACACACAGCCUCUAAAAAGGCUCUCAAUGGAAUGCCAGCUCAGGGUGGGCUCACAGAGCACACUGAUGCCAGCUUCCUACCAGCUGCCCCCAGAACACAUCAGCCCUCACCAUUGACUGCACCACCUUCCCCUCCUCCUCAGUAUCACAAACCUCAGCCACUGCCUCCAUGCUCUGCAGAAGCAGAGCUGAGCAGAUGGGUAUUGGGGGCAGAAAGCAGGAUAGUGAAGCAACAAACUUGUGCUGGUCUCUAUUCUGGCUCCCAGCAUGGAUGCCUCAGCGUGACCUGGUGCCCAGAGUGGCAGAGAAGGGCUCUUUGUUUGACUUAUCCACCCAUUAUAUGCGCAUAAAUGACCCUGAGAGUACUUUGAAAUGAAAUUCCAUAGCACACUUUCAGUACCAAAUAAUACACAGAGCUUACAUUAGUCUCAAAGCAAUAUUCGCCCAUGAAAAUGAAGCUGCAAAUGUGACACUGGCUGCUUUUAAAGAGCUUUCCUAUUCCAUCCCAAAAUGCCGGUGACUCAAAAUGACAGCACACCCCAUCCAUCACUGUGUGGCCCUGUGUGUUCUCCAGCAAAAACGUGCUUGAAGAACACAAAUAGAAAGCACUGCUGUAGAGGUGUGCCAGCCCUCAGACCAUUCCCAAGCUCAGUGCAUCGUUUAAGCCCCAGUACCUCAUUCAGCUGCCAGUUCUGCUUACCCACGACUGAUAACCACAGAACCAUAAGGGUUGAAAGGGACCUCUGGAGAUCACCAAGGCCAAUCUCCAAAUUAUAACUCAUCUUUCAGAUAUGAUAGAAGCUGCUUCACAAGAAGUAGUUGAGAUACUGAAGCAUUACGUGGUUAUUUAAAAUACAGUUAGGUUGUGGCCUUCCUUGUUGCCUCAGCCAGAGUGGUGUGGCAGUCCUGGUGUUAAAACCACCAUGGAGAAGAGGCAGGCACAGAUAUGAGGAGUUCUUCCAACACGAGGCAGGGCAGAAGAGGCAUCUGCAGUUGGAAUGGAGAGAGAGAGGAAAACAGUGAAAAAUAAGGGAGUAAUUCCCCAAAAUGCCAGUGCUGACUAGAGUGUGCCCAUGGGAGCAGUGCAAUGUGUGCCAUUAUGCGGGAGCAAUGCCUCCUCCCAAUUAGGGGAUCCAAAGGCUGAGGACCUCCUCACCCCAUCAAACUGCUGGAAGCAUCGGUGUUACUUAACUAACAAGGAAUAGAGGGAAGCUGCUGCUUGUCAGAAGCUCAGCACCAGGAGGGCAGCCGCAGUGCCCAUGGAUUCAGUUCCUUCACCCAUUGUAGGGCUGCCUCCAAGCUGCGAUUAAUUCUCGUGCUCUGAACUGCAGAUAAUGAAUUGACUUCAUGCCCAGGUGUAAAACAUAGCCCACAGAAACACAAUUUCUGCUCAAAUUCAGACCUAAUGGAGACCAGAAACCAGUUACAUAAAUGAAUACCUGUUUCUUUAAAAGAGUAUCAUUUGAUUUGCCUAAAGGUGACAGAAAAGGAGGGUGAUGGGGUAUGGCAGUGUGCCAUGAGAUGCAUGAUAGAUUAUAGCCCUACACUGUGUUUAUUUGAACAAAUGUUGUGACAACCCCCAGAAAUUUGAUUAGAUCCACAUUUUUUGCUUGUCGUACAACACGGUAUCAUUUCGUGUCAUCUUGGAGGACACAGGCAAUCAUUUAUCAGAAUUAAGUGCACACACUAAUAAAAUCAUUUC